CUUCUAUAGAAGUACCUUGCCUUGCUGAGAAUUAAAAAGAAAAUUUUAUAUUCAGGUGCUAUUUCUUUUGCGGCACCAAAACUUUAUAUAUAACACUUUGGGGGCUCACCCGUGAUUACAUUCCCCUCCUGGGACGGUCUCUGGUUCUCUCUCGUGAGGAGGCAUGCGUCCCGCCCCUUGUGGUGGCCUCAGGGGUGAGAAAUCAGAACCCACCCAGUGUGAGGAAUAACCCAGCUCUCAGCAAUGUGGGGGGAAAGAAAAAAAACAAAACUGGCCAGCAGUGUAGCUUAAAGGAUCCUCACAAACUGUAGCGAUGACUCUGUGCACAGCCCAAGGAAGGAGAAGCUGCAGGAGCCGGUAAAGUAUUUCCCUGGUGUUCGGGACCAAGCAGAGUUUUCUUUGGCUGGUGGCAGAUGAGGAGGUCAGAGAGAUUCAAAGCAUGAGAAGGAUUUGGCAUGUCCUUGCUGGCUUUGAAGAUAGAGGGACCACACUCAAGGACCAGAGAGAAGCCACAGUUGCUGACAGUGACCCUUCACCAACAGCCAGCAAGGAAAUGGACCUCAGCCCUGUGGCUGCAUGAAACUGAAUUCUGCCAGCAACCCCCAAAGAACUUGGAAGUGUGUUCUUUCCCACAGCACCCAGAUGAGAGCCCAGCCAAGCUGACACCCUGAUUUCAGCCCCUGAGUAGAGAAUCCAGUAGAGUCUGCCUGAACUUCUGACCCAUAGAAAUGUGAGAUAAUAAAAGGGUGUUGUUUUAAACCAUUAAAUUUCUAGUAAUUCAUCACAAAGCAAUAGAAAACUAAUACACUCCAUUAAGGUGUCAGCUAGUAAUUCCUCAAGUGCUUUUUAUUAGGAGCUCUGGAGGUAGACAAACUUAAACAUGCAAAUGUAUGAAUCUCUAUUUUAAGCACCUGGUUGAAGAGGAAGAUAUUUUGGGUUAAGAGGUAUGUCUGGCAUCUUAUUUUCAUUUAUUUAUUUAUUUAGAGAUGGAGUCUCACUCUGUCACCCAGGCUGGGGUGCAGUGGUAUGAUCUCGGCUCACUGCAACCUCCGCCUCCCAUAUUCAAGCGAUUCUCCUGCCUCAGCUUAUUGAAUAGCUGGGAUUACAGGCAUGUGCCACCACACCCAGC
rnacentral:lncRNA from 10 species